rfam:Trichobilharzia regenti genome assembly, scaffold: TRE_scaffold0019954
AUCCAGAUGAUGAGUCCCAAAUAGGACGAAAUGCGAAUCCUAGAU